UCGCUAUCUCCCUCCAAUUAAACCAAUAUAACAGAUCUAUACAUGAAUCACCAAUCUUUGCUUACGACAGAUGUAACGUUGACUGUUCGUAUCCAGGAUAUAUAAGGCCAUUUUGACCUAUAAAACACGUAUCAAGCCCUAGAACUUCAUUCCAUGAGAUGGGUACACUUCGAAUGUGCGAAAUUGGUGGUGGGGAAUUCAAGACCAAUUCUGAAUUUCGUAGGCAUGUAAAAAGGAAACAUCAAUCAGAGAAAUUGUCUUCGUUUGUGACCAGUGCAACACACGCUUUUGCACAUUAUAAAAGAAACAUGAAGUAAAAAUAAUUACAUUGUUUUCUGAAUACACGAAGUGCAUACAUAUACCAUGGCAGCCGUUUUAUAUAUCCGUUUAUGUACAUUAUGAAACGAUUAUUUUUACGGUAUUAUGCUUUGUUUUACAGAGAUACUACUAAUCUUUUGCAUUGCAUUUUACACAUGUUGAUUUGUUACUUCAUUGAACCAGAAGUGUUCUUAAUUUUUACUUGUUAUUAAAUAUAUUUCAAUGUUA